AGCAGAUUGGCUCAGUGGUAAGAGCACAGGCCUGGGAGUCAGAGGACCUGGGUUCUAAUCUUAGCUCUGCCA
rnacentral:tRNA from 1 species